GAGCGGCAGACGGGUGAGUAACGCGUGGGAACAUACCCUUUUCUACGGAAUAACGCAGGGAAACUUGUGCUAAUACCGUAUGAGCCCUUCGGGGGAAAGAUUUAUCGGGAAAGGAUUGGCCCGCGUUGGAUUAGCUAGUUGGUGGGGUAAAGGCCUACCAAGGCGACGAUCCAUAGCUGGUCUGAGAGGAUGAUCAGCCACAUUGGGACUGAGACACGGCCCAAACUCCUACGGGAGGCAGCAGUGGGGAAUAUUGGACAAUGGCGCAAGCCUGAUCCAGCCAUGCCGCGUGAGUGAUGAAGGCCCUAGGGUUGUAAAGCUCUUUCACCGGAGAAGAUAAUGACGGAUCCGAGAAGAGCCCCGCAUUCG
rnacentral:rRNA from 1 species